AUUGAACGCUGGCGGCAGGCCUAACACAUGCAAGUCGAGCGGAUGAAGGGUGCUUUCUCCUGGAUUCAUCGGCGGACGGGUGUGUAAUGCCUAUGAAUCUGCCUGGUAGUGGUUUAUUACGUCCGUAAACGGGCGCUAAUACCGCAUACGUCCUUAUGUAGAAAGUGGGGGAUCUUCGGACCUCUCGCUAUCUUAUUUUCCUAGGUCGGAGUAGCUAGUUGGUGGGGUAAAGGCUUACCAAGGCGAAGAUCCGUAACUGGUCUGAGAGGAUGAUCAGUCACACGGGAAGUGAGACACGGUCCAGACUACUACGGGAGGGAGCAGUGGGGAAUAUUGGACAAUGGGCGAAAGCAUGAUCAAGCAAAGCCGAGUGUGAGAGGAAGGUGUUCGGAUUGUAAAGAACUUUAAGUUGGGAGGAAGGGAAGUAAGUUAAUACCUUGCUGUAUUGACGUUAACAAAAGAAUAAGCACCGGCUAACUACGUG
rnacentral:rRNA from 1 species